GACGGUGAGAUUCAGGGAGGAGCUCAGACGUUACUGAACUAUAGAAGAGAUGAACUUCUACAUUCAACAGAGUUCAAAAUACGAAGCAUCAACAUCACCUUCCUUCAACAUGCUGUCAUCACUGAUGUUUCUAGUUAUUCUACAAGGAUUCAGCUGUGAAGAACUCACACCAGUGAAGACAGAAGAAAACAGUGUAGAAAACACGACUGUUACUAUGUCCUACAAUUACUCCAGUCAGGCAGCUGGUAGUGAUUCUUUCUUCUGGUAUCGACAAUAUCCAGGAAAACCACCAGAGUUCCUCAUCUCCCAUCUCGGAACAGGAGGAAUAUUGAAGAGUCAAAUGACUGAACUGAUGAUCAAAGUGGAU